rnacentral:rRNA from 1 species
AUUGAACGCUGGCGGCAGGCCUAACACAUGCAAGUCGAGCGGAUGAAGGGAGCUUGCUCCUGGAUUCAGCGGCGGACGGGUGAGUAAUGCCUAGGAAUCUGCCUGGUAGUGGGGGAUAACGUUCGUAAACGGGCGCUAAUACCGCAUACGUCCUGAGUGAGAAAGUGGGGGAUCUUCGGACCUCACGCUAUCAGAUGAGCCUAGGUCGGAUUAGCUAGUUGGUGGGGUAAAGGCCUACCAAGGCGACGAUCCGUAACUGGUCUGAGAGGAUGAUCAGUCACACUGGAACUGAGACACGGUCCAGACUCCUACGGGAGGCAGCAGUGGGGAAUAUUGGACAAUGGGCGAAAGCCUGAUCCAGCCAUGCCGCGUGUGUGAAGAAGGUCUUCGGAUUGUAAAGCACUUUAAGUUGGGAGGAAGGGCAGUAAGUUAAUACCUUGCUGUUUUGACGUUACCAACAGAAAAAGCACCGGCUAACUUCGUG